GAAGAGGGAAAUUUUAAUCAUCUGUCAGCAGAGUUUGGUGACAUUGAAUUCACACUUGUGAUAGUCCCCGAGAGAUGAGCACAUGAUAGAUGGUUUGUGUAGACAUGGCUCCUUCAACACCUGGGAGAGUGAGACCAAGAAACCGGAUAAAGGGGUGAGAUAAUGACUGUAGCUCUGGUUCCUCCGUAGGAACAAGGCUCUGGAAGGACAUCUGGGACACUAUAAAAAUACGCAUUGAGGUAUUGCAUGUUUUUCUGGACUUCCACUUACUUCAGAGAAAAGGGUCCACAGACCAAAGAUUGUAUUUUAAAAAUAAAACAGAAUUUCAUAGUAGCACUUUGUGACCAAGAAAGCCAAAUGCUUGCUUGACUAUUAGCUUGACAUCACCAAGUAUUUGUAAGUGAAUAGAUACUUCCCUAAAGAUUCAGGUUUUUGAAUUACUUCAUCGUUGUAUAAGGAUUAUGCCAUUAAUGUCUAACUCAAAAAGACUUUCCUUAUGUCUAAACAGCAUGUAGAACUAGCUUGUAAAACCUCCACAUUUCUCUAUCCCAGGCUAUUUAUGGGCACUGACCAUAUGUCUGGACAUCUUCAUGAAGCACAGAGAGUAACUUCCUUACAAAUCAGAAAGAAAACUUAGAUUUCUAAAAGGUUAGAAUUUGUGUUGACACAUUCUUCACCUAUGGCUAAGCAUGGUGUUCUUCCAUCUAAAAUCAGUGCUUUCAGACAACACCUUCCUAGAUAUGGGUUAUCAGAGGAACAAGCAUAGGACAAAGCAGACCAUCUAAGGGAAAGGUUGGUGCCAGGAGAUCCACCGAGAACUGCAGGUAGGAUUAUCUUGAAGUUGGCAAAAGUAGGCUUGAAAGGUCUCACUGUAUUUAAGACUUUACAGAUCAAACCGGAGACACUUGGAAAAAUUUAUAUCUGUGGUGAUAACAAUUAUCUGGCUGCAAUUAACCUGAGCCUGAAGUCAAACCUGGUCUUUAGUCUUAGUCACCUCCUGAGGCAGCAAUUUGGCUCUUCUCCCAAGGCAGACAAAGCUUAAUUAGGAUCAGGAAACAUCCGGAUAGGAGAUUCAGGCUACAGUCUCUGCUAGCUGCACACAGCCAGAUUUGGAGAAAGCCUGCUUUGGAGUGAACUUCCUACACGCUGAAUCCCCCACACAAUCAGACUUUGAUGCUGUAAAGGACCUGGCACUCAGGGUUGGUGGCCUUACCCUCUCAGCCUCCUUGACAUGUGUCAGCUGCAGUUCCACGGAUGUGGCUAUUCACACCUUUGUGCCUAUAAGGAUUUUCAGUGCUGUGACAGGUAUAUGGAGCAGCACCAUGGGACACGGAGCUAGCUACAGGACACAUCCAGCACUGCUAUCUACACAGUCAAGACUUGCCUUGCUAUCAGAGCAACUGGCUCAGGUUGCAAGUUUUACUUCUUAAAGAGGAUGAGGGUAAAAAAAUAUUAAAAAUAACAAGAGUUUUGGGGAGGAAUCAGCUUGUCUGCAAUAAAACCUGUUUGACAAGUGGGAAUAUCAUUUGCAGUGUACUUAUGCUCCUAUCCCAGUUAGAACGGGAGACUACUUAAUUUUCUUUUGUGUUUUGGGUUUUU